rnacentral:rRNA from 1 species
UUUUAUGAGAGUUUGAUCCUGGCUCAGGACGAACGCUGGCGGCGUGCCUAAUACAUGCAAGUCGAACGCUUCUUUUUCCACCGGAGCUUGCUCCACCGGAAAAAGAGGAGUGGCGAACGGGUGAGUAACACGUGGGUAACCUGCCCAUCAGAAGGGGAUAACACUUGGAAACAGGUGCUAAUACCGUAUAACAAUCGAAACCGCAUGGUUUUGAUUU